rnacentral:lncRNA from 10 species
AUUUAAGCCAAAUCUUGAUCACAAUGCAAUGGAGGAAAAAAAUUACAAAACCGUUUAGAAAGUUCUUCUGCUCAAUUAAAAAAUUUAAUACUUCUCACGUAUGUCUCCUAUAAGCACACUAAUUCUAAAGGUAGCAGAAAUUGUAUGCAUUUAUUAGAGAACAGAGACUCUCAGGAAAAUUAUGCAAUCAAUUGCAAUAGCAAAUGUAUAAAACAAAUUAAUAAUACAUUUUAAAAAAGAAAUUCUGUUAAAUUUCAUUUAAGAUUAGUUCUUGGACAGCUACACCUAAUGGAGGACAAGAAAAUUUCCAAAUUUUAAGUGUAUGUUUGUAGGUCAACCUUUAACAAGUCUUAACCCAUUAUAGUUUCAUUUAGUCUGUACUCAAGUUGCUUUCCCAGGCAUGCCAGGUAAACAUAAUUCUUAAAAAUUAAAGCUUUAAUCAGUAAGUGUAACCGAUUUGUUGCUACUGUCACUCUUUUGAUGAUACUUCCACCAACCGGUAAAGAAAGAAGAAAUGUUAUUAAACUGGAAGAUGAACUAGAAACAUUGAGUGGAUACCUAGCUUAGGCAGAAAGCAGCAAGGACUAGAAGGGUAUGUCACAAAGAAGUCUUCAGAGAUUUAAUAAAAAGUAAAACAAAUGGAAUGAAGUUAAGAGGCUUGACUUAUACAAAUGGGGGGGGGAGGGUGGAAGAGUUUUGGAGGGGAAAAAAUUAAGAUUAGAGACUCACUGGGUGCAGAAUGGAAAAGGACGUGAGGAUAGGGGCCAUUAGACAGAAAGCGAUGAAGCAGGGUACCAGAGGAAAGAGAAGGCAGUGAGGGUUUCCGAAGCUAAGAUGGGGCAUGGAAUGAACUCCAAUGCAAAGCGAUGCUAAAGCAAAACACAAUCGGCAACUAACAAAAAGGGAACCAGGAGGAAGUACCGAAAGGAGGUGGAUGAGAGGAAAAUAAAACCAAGGAAGAAAUUAUGGAGCUCCUCCGUGCAGUCCCGGGUAGAGAGCCCGGUCCCUGCGCUAGUCGAUUUGUGCAGUAGGAAAGGAGGCUGCAGGGGAUCUGCGCCGGGGCAGGACAGAUGCCUUUCGGGACCCAGUGUUUGCAUCUUGGGAGAUGUGGGUGCUGAUCUGGUUGUUUCUUGGUUUAUGACGCCAAAAAGGGCGGGAGGGGGCUGAUGAAGUGAAGCCUUUCGCUAAUACAUUCCGUUAACAGAAGCCCACGAAGGAUCAUUGAUUUAUUUCACUCUUCCCUGUUUCUGAACCUUAUCUGGCAAAAACUUUUGUGGUGCAUAAAGUUCAGUAUGUUGCUAAAGCUGAGUUAAUGAAAGGAAAAUUUCAGCUGCGACUCUUGUUUUAAAAAUGAAUCUAGGAUGGAUAGUGGUGUUGGUUGCACAACAAUGAAUGGACAUAAUGCUACUGAACUGUGCACUUAAAAAUGGUUAAAAUGGUAAAUUUUCUGUUAUGUAUAUUUUACCACAAUAAGAAUGAAUUAGAAGGGAAAAGCUUUGUGCAUUCAUUUGAAAGUAAUGGUGAGGUCUUGUAACGUAGGCCAUUUAGGGGACAGGUUUUGAAUAUAUCUUUGUACCAGUUUUUUUUUUUUUCGAGUGUGUGUGUGAGACAGAGCAUUGCUCCGUCGCCCAGGCGGGAGUGCAGUAAUGUGAUCUCGGCUCACUGCAACCUCUGCCUCCGGAGUUCAAGCAAUUCUCCUGUCUCAGCCUCCCUAGUAGCUGGGACUACAGGCGCACACCACCACGCCUGACUACUUUUUGUAUUGUUAGUAGAGACGUGGUCUCACCAUAUUGGUCAGGCUGGUUUCGAACUCCUGACCUUAGGUGAUCCACCCGCCUUGGCCUUCCAAAGUGCUGGGAUUACAGGCCUAAGACACCGUGCCUGGCUUGUACCAGUUUUUACAUGAUUGGGUGUCCUCUUAUCCUGUGAACCAAUUUAUUUGCAUUUGUAUGAAUGGCCUGCUUUCCUGAUUUCUAAUUUGUCCCUUCUUUUAUAGCCCUAUACCAUUUUACUAUCCUUGCUAAACAGGCUUUUAUUGCUUGUUUUGUGACUUGAACUUUAGCCUCAAAAUUGGAAAGGCUUUUUCUGUUUUUUUUUUAGUUCCAGCCAUGUCUUAGGAAAAUAUAGUAAACAACCAAUUAUUUGCAUUUCCACGUCCGUGCAUCCCUAAAACACACAGUGUGCCAAGAUUCUUUCCCUGUUCCACGUUCUUUUUAUUCAAAUCACAUUGUUAACUCAUCUGCUGUGUGCCAGGCAGUGUGCUAAUCUUGGAAGAUACCAACAUGAAUGAAAAAGAACUUGGGUGGAGUGUUUGCAUUAUUACCCUAUGAUGUAAUGUGUAUAGUGCAGAGAUAAAUGCACAGAGAGCUAUUGAAGCUCAGAAGAAGCAUUAAUCCAACUUUGGGAAGAGGUCAUGGGUCAGGAAAAACUUCCAGGAGAAAAUGAUUCCAGAGAGUUGAAGUGGGAUGUCUUGUGGUGGCGGUUGGGAGGAGUAAAGGGAAAAGGAUUGCUUGAACAGAAGCUGUACAGUAAGAAACUGGUCUUUGUGCUGAACUAAAACUAAGACUUCUAUGCCACUGUUUAGGGAUGUGAGGCUGGAGAAGUUGACAAGGAUCAUGGUGAGCCUUCAAAAAAAGUCAAAUCAGUUCAACCAUUAUAUAUAUAUAUAUAGCUUAUUAGAUAUUUGCCAAAUACUGUGCUAGUUACUGAGGGAUAUAAUGAAAGUUAAGGGUCAGUCUAAAAUCUCAGAGUUUGCAAUCUAGCAGGGGUAGACAGGCAUGUAAAAACAAAAAAAAAACAAGUUCUGCUACAGAGUUAAAAUUGGGGUAGGUACGGGGUUGUCUGGGAACCCAGAAGAGGAGCACUUAACUAACCUAGAGAUUUAGCAGGACUUCCUGGUAAUUAUCUAUUGAUAGAAGAAUAUAAAAUAAUCUCUUAAAGAAAUAAGAAAAUUCACCUGGGGUGGCUCACUCCUGUAAUCCCGGCAUUUUGGGAAGCCGAGGCAGGCAGAUCACUUGAGGUCAGGAAUUUGAGACCAGCCUGGGUUUAGUAGAGAAACCCCAUCUCUACUAAAAAUAAAAAAAUUGCCGGGCGUGGUGGCAGGCGCCUGUAAUCCCAGCUACUCCAGAGGCUGAGGCAUGGGAAUCACUCGAACCUGGGAGGUGGAGGUUGCAGUGAGCCGAGAUCGUGCCACUGCAUUCCAGCCUGGGUGACAGAGUGAGACUCCAUCGCAAAAAAAACCAAAACGAACAGCAACAACAACAACAAAAACAAUAAGAAAUACGAAAAUUUAUGGCAUCUACUGAGGUACAGACUACUAGAGAGUAUAGCAUACUGAUCUAAUUGUCAGAUUACCUGGUUCUAAUUCUAGAGUCUACAGUAUACUGUGUUAUCUUGAGAGUCUCUUAUCUUCUCUAGGUCUGUUUUCUCUCAAAUAUAAGAAGAUAAUCACAUUAUAUAGACUUUGAAUUCCUUUAGAAAUUUGUCUAGAAAUUUCCUGAUUCUAAAUUUACUUCCCAUAUUUAUCUUCCCAAGUUUGGUGUCACCCAUUAUGCUGCUAAUAAACAGUUUUGUGUCACAUUUAAUGUACAUUAACAUUUUAUGUUAUAUAUGUGUCCUUUUCAAUCUAUGUUGUGCUCAAGGAAUAUAAGAUUUGGAAUCCUUUCUAUCUUGUAAUUGGUUUACAUAAUUUAACUUUGGCAUGGAGUGUUUUUGAAUGUUUGCUAAACCCUUCUAACUGUGGAGUAUUCUCUUAAUCCAAAGAUCAGGUUAUCUCUCCCUUUCUCGGUUGCACAACAUUGGUUCAGCUAAAGAUUGAGACAGUAGAAGAAAUGAAUAUUGUAAAUUUGAAAACAGCCUCAUGAAGGCCGGGCGCAGUGGCUCAUGCCUGUAAUCCCAGCACUUUGGGAGGCCUAGGCGGGUGGAUCACGAGGUUAGGAGUUCGACACCAGCCUGGCCAACAUAGUGAAACCCUGUCUCUACCAAAAACACAAAAAUUAGCCAGGCGUGGUGGUGAGUGCCUGUAAUCGCAGCUGCUUGGGAGGCUGAGGCAGGAGAAUCACUGGAAUCCUGGAGGCAGAGGUUGCAGUGAGCCGAGAUUGCACCACUGCACUCCAGCCUGGGCGGCAGAGCAAGACUGCAUCUCAAAAAAAAACAAAAGAAAGAAAGAAAAAGAAAAUAGCCUCAUGAAGGAUGUCUCAUAUUUGUCAGAUGCUAAACAUUAAUUUACUAAAAAAAAAAAUUAAGCUGGCUUUUUCCUUACUGGGCUUUAUGAUUUUUAAAAUAUUCCUGUUGUAAGUAUGGUCAUUAUUUGAAAAUUAAAAAUGAGAUAUAGUCAAAGUUAUUCCACAACUAUAUAUAUAUGUACAUACACACAUAUAUAUACACAUAUAUAUACAUAUAUAUAUACGUGUGUAUAUAUAUACACACACACACACACAUUUUAAUUUCGACUUCUAUUUUAGAUAUAGAAGGUGUAUGUUCAGAUUUGUUACAGGGGUAUAUUGUACCCAGAUAGUGAGCAUAGUACCCAGCAAGUAGUUUUUCAACCCACACUCCACUGCCUCCAUUCCUCCUCUAGUAGUCCAUAGCGUCUACUGUUCCCAUGUUUAUGUCUAACACAGCUAUAUUUGAUGCUUCCCUUUUUUUAGUUUCCUGUCCAUUCCAUUUCCAUGUCUUGUCUGACCUUUCUUUCAAAAUAUUUUGUCUGUUUCAAAAUGCUUCUGUAGUCCAAGGAAAAGUCAAACUUGAACAAAAAGAGGAACAUCUCUUCUGGUGAGACUGGAGAAAGGAUUUAAGGUACAAUGUGAAUGGAAAUUAAUGUAAUUUGUAGAUUUUAAAUCUACAUUUUACAGCAAAAACAAAAAAAGUUGAGUAAAACUUUAAGCAUUGCAUAAACUACUAUAAUAUCUUUUAGUUUUCUGAUACUAGUAACAGUAGAUAACAUCUUGAACCUUUAUCAUCUGCUGAGUGCUAGUCUUAAUAUACAUUAUUUCUGCU